rnacentral:rRNA from 1 species
ACAUGCAAGUCGAACGGAGCUUAGAGAGCUUGCUUUUUAAGCUUAGUGGCGAACGGGUGAGUAACGCGUGAGUAACCUGCCCUAGAGUGGGGGACAACAGUUGGAAACGACUGCUAAUACCGCAUAAGCCCACGGUACCGCAUGAUACUGAGGGAAAAGGAUUUAUUCGCUUUAGGAUGGACUCGCGUCCAAUUAGCUAGUUGGUGAGGUAACGGCCCACCAAACCGACGACCAGUAGCCGGCCUGAGAGGGCGACCGGCCACAUUGGGACUGAGACACGGCCCAAACUCC